GUGCUAGCUUUGGCAGCACAUAUACUAAAAUUGGAAUGAUACAGAGAACAUUAGCAUGGCCCCUGCGCAAGGAUGACACGCAAAUUCGUAAAGCGUUCCAUAUUUUU
rnacentral:snRNA from 1 species